CCCAGGACGACUUGGAAACUAUCACGUCUCAUUUUCAGACCAGUCGUGUGGAAAUACAGGAGCAGUUUGUUGUUCCCAUCGAGGAGCAGGCUGUUCUUGAUGCUCCGGAGUUUUCAUCAGCGGCUCAUCGUGGCCCCCUUCAGGAUCUCAUGUACGACCCGACAGUCCAGAGAUGGAGAAAUUUCAGGCGUAGACUACAACUUCGUCUCUAUCGAGGAGUUCUUCGCCUUGGAGGAGUCAGGAGCGCUGCUGGAGAGCGGAAAGUUCAAAGGGAAUUACUACGGCACACCCCGGCCGGUGCACAUCAGCGUGGAGAGCCCCCCCAUCACCUACCAGGAGCAUCGCAACCUGCUCAGGAACUUCCGCACACGCAGCAAAUCGCUCAGCAACCUGGAGAAGGCUGCAGAGGACGGCGAGAACAGCGAGGACGACUCGGGCCUGUCAGGCGAGUAAAACCUGCUCUCUGUAGCAGCGUGUGUGUGUGUGUGUGUGUGUGUGUGUGUGUGUGUGUGUGUGUGUGAGAGGGCAU
rnacentral:lncRNA from 1 species